rnacentral:rRNA from 1 species
UACGAAGGGGGCUAGCGUUGUUCGGAAUCACUGGGCGUAAAGCGCACGUAGGCGGGUCGUUAAGUCAGGGGUGAAAUCCCGAGGCUCAACCUCGGAACUGCCUUUGAUACUGGCGACCUUUGAGUCCGGGAGAGGUGAGUGGAACUCCGAGUGUAGAGGUGAAAUUCGUAGAUAUCCGGAGGAACACCAGUGGCGAAAGCGGCCACCUGGACUGCACCUGACGCUGACACGCGAAAGCUAGGGGAGCGAACGGG